AUACGGAGGGUGCAAGCGUUGUUCGGAAUCACUGGGCGUAAAGGGCGCGCAGGCGGUUUGGUAAGUCGGAUGUGAAAGCCCACGGCUCGACCGUGGAAGUGCAUUUGAAACUGCCAGACUUGAGUACCAGAGGGGAAAGUGGAAUUCCCGGUGUAGAGGUGAAAUUCGUAGAUAUCGGGAGGAAUACCGGUGGCGAAGGCGACUUUCUGGCUGGAUACUGACGCUGAGGCGCGAAAGCGUGGGGAGCAAACAGGAUUAGAUACCCGGGUAGUCC
rnacentral:rRNA from 1 species